rnacentral:rRNA from 1 species
CAGUCGCCGCGGUAACACGUAGGGUGCAAGCGUUAAUCGGAAUUACUGGGCGUAAAGCGUGCGCAGGCGGUUAUAUAAGACAGAUGUGAAAUCCCCGGGCUCAACCUGGGAACUGCAUUUGUGACUGUAUAGCUAGAGUACGGCAGAGGGGGAUGGAAUUCCGCGUGUAGCAGUGAAAUGCGUAGAUAUGCGGAGGAACACCGAUGGCGAAGGCAAUCCCCUGGGCCUGUACUGACGCUCAUGCACGAAAGCGUGGGGAGCAAACAGGAUUAGAUACCCCCGUAGUCCCUGUCUCUUAUAC